rnacentral:rRNA from 1 species
AUUGAACGCUGGCGGCAGGCUUAACACAUGCAAGUCGAGCGGAGUGAUGGUGCUUGCACUAUCACUUAGCGGCGGACGGGUGAGUAAUGCUUAGGAAUCUGCCUAUUAGUGGGGGACAACAUCUCGAAAGGGAUGCUAAUACCGCAUACGUCCUACGGGAGAAAGCAGGGGAUCACUUGUGACCUUGCGCUAAUAGAUGAGCCUAAGUCGGAUUAGCUAGUUGGUGGGGUAAAGGCCUACCAAGGCGACGAUCUGUAGCGGGUCUGAGAGGAUGAUCCGCCACACUGGGACUGAGACACGGCCCAGACUCCUACGGGAGGCAGCAGUGGGGAAUAUUGGACAAUGGGGGGAACCCUGAUCCAGCCAUGCCGCGUGUGUGAAGAAGGCCUUAUGGUUGUAAAGCACUUUAAGCGAGGAGGAGGCUCUUUUGGUUAAUACCCAGAAUGAGUGGACGUUACUCGCAGAAUAAGCACCGGCUAACUCUGUGCCAGCAGCCGCCGUAACAC